AGGAAAAUUAUAGUUAGAAGCUUCUCUCUUGCGAGGAAUAUAUAUGAAGGAGGCCAUCAAAUGAAUCCAUCUAAAGAAUCUGACUUAGAUGCUGGAGCAGAGUUCCUAGAGGUAUAUGGAUAGGGAAUUUAAUUUGGAUUUUACUAACUAUAAUUUUAAAAGAAUCCAUAGUAUAAAUAUGUUGACUACCCAUAUUUUAUAAAACGAAUGACAAUUAAAAAACAUUUUAAUGAAAUAAAACAAAAGAAGAAGAAAACAAUUACUAGACACUAGAAAUUUGACCUUCUAGUCAUCUGUAAUUUUUAAGCAAUUCACGCGUAGCUUGAUUACUCUAUAAUAUCAUGACAGAGAAUAGUUUAGUGACUAUACUGAUAUAGCGGGUAAACACAAUUAGUUUAAUGUGAUAAAAUAUAAUUUUAUAAUAUUACUGUUACAGUAAAAAUAUUUAGUGACUUUUAACACAAAAAAAUAAAUUUGUUAUUAUAGUGAGCAAAAAUCAGUGAUCUAUAGUUCUAUACGUGAAACUAAUCAUACUUAUAUAGCCAAAAUACCUUGAAUGCAUGUAUACUUAGUUGUUGGUGAUCAUGUAAUGUUGCAGCAUGGGCGAAGAUAGAAGCCUAAAUAUGAAUUCUGUUUCAGAAACAUAUAUUCAAAUAGUAUAUUUUGUGUUAAGAAAUUCAUUAAAUACGUAUAUAUAUUAAAUUUAAAAUAUACUUAUUAAUACUUAAAGUUGUAAUUCAAAACCUAUAAAAUUAAAAUACUAACUCCAUUAGUGUAUUGCAGUCAAAUACAGCAUUGAGUAUUCAACAAGAGGAAAGGUUAAUUCAGAUGGGAGCCACUGUAAGAAAUGGAUCUUCCUACUUAGAGAGACUGAAGAUGAAUGAGGAGAGAGAGG
rnacentral:lncRNA from 1 species